rnacentral:misc_RNA from 1 species
GUCUCCCAGUGUAAACCUACCGUUUUCAGUCCCACUUCACAGUGAUACCGAAUUACAGUUAUUCACGUAAUUUGUAUCGACGUCUAUAGGAAACAGGAAAGUCUAUAAUCUAAAAGGAUUUCCUUUGGUUUUUAAAUUAUCGGUGCACAUCUACGCUCGCACAAAAGAAGAUUUUCAUUUUAUUCGUGUAGCAAUAACCGUCAAAACCAUUGGUGUAGUCAUCGUGCCAUUGUAGCAGGCUCACAUUUUAUUUGAAAAUUGCAAUUAAAUCCGAAAAAAGGCUUUUAAAGGGUCGUUACGUUAACAAAUCUUACAAACUGUUUAGAGGAUAAGUGCAGUCAAAUACGCCUCGUUGCCAUAGGGAAAGGGUACGAUUUAUCCUGCAUCGUCCAUUGUUUCUUUUUAUGGCAUUUUUUUCUGUGAUUUCGAACCCAUCCUCUCUUUUUACCUUAACCGGUGUGCAGUGUAGCCUUGUGUCGAGAUUCGAACGCCUAUUAAGUUUGAAAACAAAAUUAAGGUCGUGUCUCGUAAAUCAUUUUAGCUACGAGAUAAAAGAAUGCCGAAAAAAGGGGGACAAGAAAAUUUUGCAAAUGAUAUAUCUGAUUUGGGUGAAACACAAAUAACCCAAUCCGACGACUCCUAUUUACCUAACGACCAAUCACCUGUGGCUAACACAAGAGUGUUCCGCCGCCGGUGGCUAAUGCUCUUGAUUUUCGUCUUGGUUUUUAUGACGAACGCGUUCCAGUGGAUUCAAUUCUCCAUCAUCAACAAUUUAAUUACAAAAUAUUAUGGCGUGGAAAGUUCUACGGUUGACUGGACGAGCCUCGUUUUUAUGGUCGUUUACAUUCCGUUUAUCAUCCCCGGAGCGUGGAUUAUGGACAGACUGGGAUUACGGGUUACCGUUUUGUUGGGUGCCAUUGGGACCACUUCUGCAGCCUGGAUCAACGCCGUUGGCGUUGCACCUGACCUCUUUUACGUGGUUCUCAUAGGCCAAACAGUCGCGUCUGUUGCCCAGAUUUUCUUAUUGGGCGUUUCGCCAAACGUUGCAGCCGUUUGGUUUGGUGCAGAUCAAGUCUCUUUGGCCUGUUCUAUCGGGGUUUUUGGAAAUCAGAUAGGUGUGGCUUUGGGCUUUCUAAUACCUCCAAUGCUCGUACAUGAUCACGAAAACCCGGAAGACAUUGGCACAGAUUUGAGAUUUAUGCUCUAUAUCAUUGCUGGAUUCUGCACAGCGUUGCUUUUUGCUGUCUUUUUCGGUUUCCAAGCCAAACCUCCUGUACCUCCUAGCGGGGCCCAAUGUUGCUCGGCGAAACAAUCGUCUGGCUCCUUUUCAGGAUAUUUUACAUCAUUGAAAAAGAUUAUUACGAAUCAUGGUUUUAUGCUACUUUUCCUUUCGUACGGUAUCAAUGUCGGCGUCUUUUACGCCAUGUCCACUUUGUUGAAUCAGACGGUCCUGCUUCACUUUCCGGGUGAAGAGAAAAAUGCUGGUCGAAUCGGGUUGACUAUUGUUGUUUGUGGUAUGUUUGGAUCUGUUCUUUUCGGUGCAAUUCUCGACAAAACCCAUAAAUUCAAAGAAACAACUUUGGCGACGUACGUUUGCGCUCUGGCUGGAAUGGUUGCUUAUACUUUCACUUUCCAAUUAGAAUAUAUUCCCGUCACUUUCAUUGCUGCUGGAACUGCUGGCUUCUUCAUGACAGGAUAUCUGCCAGUUGGUUUUGAAUUUGGAACCGAAUUGACUUAUCCGGAGCCGGAAGUCACUUCUGCUGGAUUGUUGAACGCGUCAGCUCAGAUCUUUGGCAUUAUCUUUACACUUUUAGGAGGUUGGCUAUUGGCUACUUAUGGCUCGAUGGUUUGCAAUGGCUUUUUAUCAGCCGCUUUGUUGAUUGGCUUCGUCAUGACGUUCCCUAUCCGGUCAGAUCUUCGCCGACAGAAAGCCAAUCGAGAAUCUAUGAUUGUUGUGGCAGGAGGAGCAAAAGACAAUCCUUUACCAGUUUCCGCUUGAACUAACAUAUCGAUCUUCAUAAAAUGAUGUGAAACUAAGGAAAGCAGUUGUCUUUAGCAUGUUGAUCUAUAUGAAGGGUACAACGCGUGAAAUUCACAUUUUGGAUAAUGUCUUUCUAACACAGCAAUCGACGAUACUGGAUGGUACGUUCAUCGACCUCGGGAGAUGCUUCACCGGCUAAAGCUGCACGAGCCGCACGUCCGGAUCUCGGUCUAGACGUUCCGAACGCUACUUUAUUGCCUGCUGCUUCUCUAUCGGACAGCUCUUGUUGAUGUAACUGAAGUUCCCGUUCUUUUUUCUUUUGGCUGAGAAUCUUAUCACGCUGAGCGCGUAAUAGAACGCGGCGGCGUUCUACAUCUUCCGGAUCGGGGACUUUUGUUGCCACUAAAUGACCUAAGCAUUUGACUUUCAAAUUCUCUACAAAAUUUAUAAAAAAAAGAUCCGUUUCAAACCUCUGGUCGGAGUUUGAACGUUAGUUACGGGAGCAGCUUCUACUAACGUUUCCACAACUUCGUCAGUUGUUUGGCUUUUUAGUAGUCCAGCCACGGAUGCAGCAAGAGCUCGGUCCACUAACCCGCCCAGUCAAUAAUUAUAGGCUCUUUUUUAACGUUUGCAUUGACACAGUCGAAAUAACAAAUUACCGUCACGCCUCUCAGCGACUUGGGCAUUUCGUUCGGCCACAUGUUCGGCCAUAGAUUGCCGAAUCGCUUCAUUGAUGUCUUCUUCGGAAAACUCAUCGUUAGACGCGUUCCGACUCUCAAUGCUCGGAUGCCCAGGAUGAUCACGCUUUCGGCGCAGCAUUUCAAGAGCUUCGUUGUGCAACUGCUCAUUUUUAGAGCGCAUCAAUGCUUUGAAACGAUCGUAAUCGCCGGCGGAUUGUACGGGCUCCAGCAGUUGCUUCAAGUGAUUUUGUGUAUACCUGUAAAGCUGCCGACCGGACGGAAGGCUGGAUUCGACUCAAGGCUAAUUCCAGGUGUUCCGGCUGAAGGCCUAAAUCGUCCAUGUAGGCACCCAGCAUAACAUCCACCUUGCAACCAGAGAAUGUUAAUUAUCUCUAGGUCGAUUGAUCAGCCGAACUAUAAACUCAAAAAGUUGGAGUCAUAGUAGAGAUAUCACCCACCAAAUUGCGAAAUUCCUUGUGGAUUCCUUGAUAUUCAUCCUCGAACUCGGCACCAUCACCUUCAAAUACUUUCAACAUAACAAAGAGUUAAAUUUAUCACUAUUCAGUGGGAGAAGAAUGAUUGGACUCGUGUUUUAACACACCGACGGACUUUUGCUCCACGAAAUUCAGAAUAGGAGUAAUCCAAACAGGUCCUUGCAGAUAAGCUACCAACGAAUCGAGGAUCCAAUCAGCGUUAUUUUCUUCGGGAACAUCGUCUGUUGCUUCCAUUGCUGAAGAAGGUAGUGUACAAAGCUUCUGAAACUGACAGAUCACAUCCACAAUUGGUACCCUCCUUCGGGAAAUCGGACUGCUGGACUGUGGGUUGGCAGCGCGAUCCAUGUUAUGAGUUGCCAUGACAACCAAACAAUAACAAACUCUCACUAAGGUAAUAGUUGCUGGCAGGGCGGACGCUAUUUGCCUUCUCCUUCUUCUGAAGAAUCAGAACGCCGCUAUAAAGUGGAAUUAAUGGCAAAUUAGAUUAAGACUACAUCGCAGUAAUAUGCAUGAGAAAGACAUACACGAAUGCCAUUAAUAGAAUGAUUUCAAUGCCCAUCUCAACGAGAAAAACGGUUGCAGAAAACAAGUCCCGAGUUGCUUUGUACAACGAAUCGAAGCUGACCAACGCAAUAAGAGGAACAAUCGAUUCUAAGACAGCAACAAAUGAAUAGACGUGACCUAUAGUCAUAAGAAAACACUUACUGAUUUCAUCGGCUUUCACCAAUUUGGAGAGCAGUGAUCUGAUGACCACGGUAAUUCCCAACGACAAAACAUGACCAAGCGUGGCUAUCAAAGAAAAGACUUCAUCAGCAAAAUCAAAUUAAAGCUGAAACAAAAUCUUUGUCUGGCCAGAGCUAGAAUUACAGAGAUACACGAUCGUUGAAGAUGCGGCGAAAGCUAUAAAUAGGUAAGACAACACUUUGCCACUUGACGACAAAAUGCCAAUUAAAGUGUCCGAGAAUCUCAAAUAAUCUGAGAGAAGAGGCAAGAGGAGAAGAGUUCCUAAAACCGAUCAAAAGAUGUUGACUGACACACUCAUUUUUUUUUUAAACGUCCGCGUUUACCAAGGAUUUCCACAAAUGAAAAACUAGCCGUGUACAAAGUAAAGUCAGAAUGAUUCCAGGAAAAGUAGUCUCUCGUGUAAAGGUAAGCAGCGCCGUAGUGGGCUGCAAACAAAAAAUUCAAACCUUAUCUAGUCCGAUCAUUGCACUUCGUUUUAGUUUGAUUUGUUCUUUACUAACCGUACGAAAAACAAUUCAAGAAAAAGCAGAACAUCAAACAAAAAAUGAAAGUGCGUUCGUAUCCUUUCCGUCGUUUAAAAGCGAUGACGGACCACUGCCGCACAUUCUUCAGAAUGGAUUCACAGUUGCAUUUUUCUGAGAGUGAUUCUCUUAUUGCUUGUUCUGCUUCCUUUGCUGAAGUGGAUUUUAUCACAAUAAGCCGAGUGAAUCGAUUUUUCGCUGGUUGGCCUCGUGAAUCACGAACAAAGAAAAACAGGUAAAUCAAUGAUAAGGCAUAGAAACCAAGUGCGCUCAACCAAAUGGCCAGGUAACCGCCUAGAUUGUAUAUAACGGCACUAAUCACUUGUGAUGAAAUCUGCACAGCCAUCGCAAUAACACCGGCCAUGAUAGCCAGUCGGAGCGUCCUGAUUUCUUCCAGCGUUACAUCCACAAUGUAACUGCCCAUAACAAAGGUAGCUCUGCCCCCUAGGACACCUAUUGACAUGUCUCCGAAAAGAAGAAAUUCAGCUGGAAGCGAAUCCGCGAAAUAAUUUGCCAUGAGGAUUAAGGUGGAUAUUAUUUGACCAAUGACAGGAGCAACCAUCAAGAAUUUCGUUCCAUACUGAUUGCUGAGUGGUCCGAAUAAUAAGACAAAGAGGGCUGAAAGGAUGUGAUUAAUCAGUGAGCCGUAAAUAUUCAAGAUGCUGGCAUAACUUUCGAUGUGAUCCGAUGUUUCCAGAGUACUUUGUUUGGAAACCGAAUGCGUUUGAUUACUACCAUAGCAAUCACUUAAAUUUAAAUUGAAGCCAUAAUGGCUUCUGCAGACUUUGUAGGAAAGUAUGUAUUGUUUAGGGACAGACUGUGGGCAAACAAGAAUUAGGUUGAUUAACAAAACAAGACGGUAGAGUUUGGAGAAUUUUACCUGUAUAACAGUUGCCAUGACGAAGAGAAAUCCAAAAGGUUCGAUCGUGAUAUGUAGCUUCUGGAGUGUUACGCUUAUCCACAUUAUUACCUUUCGAUAGGUUGACAUCAUUUUCGUUCUAUUUCUGAUGCAAGCACAAAGGAUAGCUAUAAAAACUCUGUGGGUCAAGACCCCGUUCUCACAUGUCCCACUAAUAGAAUACGAUCAAGGUGGCUCCAACAGUGAUUCCUCACGAUUGUUUCAACCAUUCUCAUUCCCUUCCUUAAUAUACAGAUCGAAGAUUUAA